UACAGAGGGUGCAAGCGUUAAUCGGAAUUACUGGGCGUAAAGCGUGCGUAGACGGUUAUGUAAGUCGGGUGUGAAAGCCCCGGGCUCAACCUGGGAAUGCCAUUCGAGACUGCAUAGCUAGGGUGCGGAAGAGGGAAGCGGAAUUUCAGGUGUAGCGGUGAAAUGCGUAGAUAUCUGGAGGAACACCGGUGGCGAAAGCGGCUCACUGGGAUCGAUACUGACGCUGAGGUGCGAAAGCUAGGGUAGCAAACGGG
rnacentral:rRNA from 1 species